AUGCUCCUGAUUGCUUCAGAUCAUUGUCGAUUGAAUCACUAUUCAGAGCAAUCCUCCUUCUUUGUUUCCUCAACAUCACAAAGUGUCUUCUUCAUCUUAGCGAUGCUAUUCUUCUCCGAUGAACAAAAUGCGACGUUGUUGCUGUCAAGAUUGUCAUCACCUUCUUCGAUUUUGCAAAUUCGAUGUGCGUCAAAGUUUCUACGUGCGCGAAUCGUUAUUGGUUGUUGUCCGUCAAGGAUGAUGGUUGAACGUUGA